GGUUGAAAGUUCAAGGCCAUAGCAGAAGCUGUCAUGGUGUGGCUCUGUCAGGUUCCAACAAAUCUGAGACUUCUGCU
rnacentral:lncRNA from 1 species